CAGGCCUAACACAUGCAAGUCGAACGAAGGCUUCGGGCAUAGUGGCGCACGGGUGCGUAACGCGUGGGAAUCUGCCCUUGGGUUCGGAAUAACGUCGGGAAACUGACGCUAAUACCGGAUGACGUCUUCGGACCAAAGAUUUAUCGCCUGAGGAUGAGCCCGCGUAAGAUUAGGUAGUUGGUGUGGUAAAGGCGCACCAAGCCGACGAUCUUUAGCUGGUCUGAGAGGAUGAUCAGCCACACUGGGACUGAGACACGGCCCAGACUCCUACGGGAGGCAGCAGUGGGGAAUAUUGGACAAUGGGCGCAAGCCUGAUCCAGCAAUGCCGCGUGAGUGAUGAAGGCCUUAGGGUUGUAAAGCUCUUUUACCCGGGAUGAUAAUGACAGUACCGGGAGAAUAAGCUCCGGCUAACUCCGUGCCAGCAGCCGCGGUAAU
rnacentral:rRNA from 1 species